rnacentral:sRNA from 1 species
AACAACAUGGAAGGAGGUGAUCGAAUGUCUCAUUGUCCCACGCCGUCUGCGGCGCGCACUCAGGCUUCGGUUCGCUCCAUCGGGGCUGCCGCCUGAGGCAUUGAAACAUGGUCGCUCGCCGCAGCGGCCGGCAAUGGAAAAAGGCCGUCCCGAAAGGGGCGGCCUU